CCUUGUUCCAGUUAUAUUAACUCUUCAGUUAUGCUGACAAGUCACCCUCCCUCCUAUCUUGUGGCUUUUAUGUGUGCCAUCUCCUCUGACCAGUUCCUGCCUGAGGUCAUUGAGACUUCAGCAGAGGUCAUGUCCUUAAGGACUUAUCUUCUACACAUCAGGCUAAAUCCAGCCAUUUUGCAUACAUUUUCAAUGUACAUCAGACUUCCAAAGAAUUCAUCACAACGUUCAGACUAAACCCUAGAAAUUCUGCUCUUUUCACCAAAACAGCACAGACAGCAGGGGCUGAGACAGAGUCUGCAGAAUGCAUCUGCAUGGCUUCAAGACCAUCACCUUCUCUCCAACCUGCACACGCUGUGGUUGUCACCGCAAUCGACCCCGCUGUAGUAGGAACCACUCAUGUCGGUGUCGGCACUAUUGUUUGUCUGAGUUAUUUGUGUGGUGGGAAAAUCACCAGGUUGAAUGUUCUGGUAGAGUCAGGGAUGUGUGCUUAACGGAUAUAUAUUAAUAAGAAUGAUAAAAUAUGGCAAGAGGAAAACUUGGGGGAUUGUGUUCAGGCCUUUAUUUUGUAACCUAGCUGCAGAGAUGGUUAUGUAUCUAGCCCAAGGACCCUGACCUGAAAAGUGGCAGAAAACUAAAGGCAACAAUGAAGUUUAUAUUUUUAUUGUUCUAUGCUUUGCUUUCCCUCUGUGGUAAGUGAACGAAUAAGACAGAGUAACUUAUUUCUGAAAAAUGAAUUAUGUCCACUCUAAACUCCUUCUAAGGUUUGAGGAUGUCUAGUUGACAUACAGGUGUUAAGUUCUUCAUUAAUGUGAAGCAAGUUUUAAUCCUGAAGGAAAAGUGAGUAAUGAGUGCCACUUAUUUUCAUGCUCCCCCCA
rnacentral:lncRNA from 1 species